rnacentral:rRNA from 1 species
GAUGAACGCUCGCGGCAGGCCUAACACAUGCAAGUCGAGGGAUAAGCCUUCGGGCUAAGCCCGGCGCACGGGUGCGUAACGCGUAUACAAUCUGCCUUUUAUCCGGGGGAUAGCCCGAAGAAAUUUGGAUUAAUACCCUAUGGUAUAAGAGCACGGCAUCGUGCACUUAUUAAAGCUACGGCGGUAAAAGAUGAGUAUGCGUUCUAUUAGCUAGUUGGAGAGGUAACGGCUCCCCAAGGCGACGAUAGAUAGGGGUUCUGAGAGGGAUGUCCCCCACACUGGUACUGAGAUACGGACCAGACUCCUACGGGAGGCAGCAGUGAGGAAUAUUGGACAAUGGUCGGAAGACUGAUCCAGCCAUGCCGCGUGCAGGAUGACGGCCUUAUGGGUUGUAAACUGCUUUUGUAAGGGAAGAAUAAGGAGUACGUGUACUUUGAUGACGGUACCUUACGAAUAAGCAUCGGCUAACUCCGUG